GCAACAUGUACGAUUUAUCAUUUUGUAAAAGGGGAAUUACUGAGAUGAUAAUUCCCGGGUAUAAAGACGACUCAAUCGUGCAUUCCAAGCAUAGUCUUCCCAAACUACUAACCUAGUAACACAACUAGCACAACUGAAAAAGAUGGCAGAAUACGUAUCUAGGACUACUUUCACUUUUGUGCUGUUCGCCCUGCUGGCGACGGCCGCCCUCGCUAAUCCUAUUGAUUGGAGGCAGCAUUCCGUGGAUCCGCCGCAAACCCGCAUUUACGAGCACAUGCACCACCGCCACCAUCAUCAUCCGGCUGCUACGAUCGGCGAGGAUGCGCGGCAUGCCGCCGCAGUCCAUUUAAUUAGAUUUGCGCGCUCUCUACAACCCGGUGCUCCGCAAGUACCUUCGGAUUUCUUCAAAAAGUACCAAAAGCACACAUCGCUGCCAAAACCACGUAGAUAUUAACUAUAACUAAAUAAAUUACUAAUAUUUAACUUGAUUGACCUUAUGACCUCUACAAUCAAUCAAUAAACAUAAUAACGAUAACUUAUCUAUCAAUAAACGUUUCGUUUUUUACUUACUGUGGUGCCAAAAUACUGUAUUAGCAUAUGUGUGCAUUCAUGUAUUCAUGUUUUCUCAUUUCCAUUCGGAUAUUUGGUAUUCCAGACGAAUAUCCGCGAAUACGUUAGCAGACGUUAAGAAACUACAUUGUUGUGGCGAAAAUAAAAGUUUUUCCCUGUUUCGGCUCGUGCCUCACGUGGCAAUACUACUUCAGUUACUUCGUUCGCUCGCGCAGUGGAACUGAUCGAUUGUUAUUGCAUCGCACGACUACCGGAUUAAAAUGUGAAUGAGCGGGCGAAACAAACAAGAGUGAUUCGCAACGGGCUUUUACCCUACUUAGGAUAUUCAAUACUGAACAGGUCACGUAAAAUGUUCGGAGGGUUGCCUAAUGGAUAUUGAAGCAUAUUUAUAAUAAGUAAUAUAAAAAAUGGAGGAUUAUGUAUGUUUGGUUGCGUUUAACGCCUAAACUACUUAAGUUAUUUUCAUGAGUUUUGGUGUAAUGAUAGAUUAAAUGUUGGAGAAGAAUAUAGACUAGUUUUUGUUUGAAGAAUAAAGCUUUAAAGAGGAUAAAUGUGAGGUUAGUAUUUUUAAAGGUUAAAGUUAUAUACUUUAAACGGAAAUGGCGCAAUUGUCAAUUUUUAAUAAUUUUUAAGCUAAUUUAUGCUUAUUAACAUGAUAAACAUCAAAAUAAGUAUGUUUGUUUGCUUUUCACGCUUGAACCACCCAAGCAAUUUUCAUAAAUUUUGGUAAAAAGAUAGAUUGGACAUAAGAAAAGAACAUAGACUGCUUUUUGUCCCAAAAAUUUAUUUUUUAAAAAAUAAAAUUGAAGAUAAAAAUGUAUACAUAUGUACAAUUAAUGACGUUUAUAGUUAUCCACUUCAAACAUAAAUUGCGAAAGUGUUUUAAAUUCUCAUAACCUUUAUUAAUACAAGAAUAAAUAUUAUAAAAUUCA